rnacentral:rRNA from 1 species
AUGAACGCUGGCGGCGUGCCUCAUACAUGCCAGUCGAGCGAACGGACGAGAAGCUUGCUUCUCUGAUGUUAGCGGCGGACGGGUGAGUAACACGUGGAUAACCUACCUAUAAGACUGGGAUAACUUCGGGAAACCGGAGCUAAUACCGGAUGAUAUUUUGAACCGCAUGGUUCAAAAGUGAAAGACGGUCUUGCUGUCACUUAUAGAUGGAUCCGCGCUGCAUUAGCUAGUUGGUAAGGUAACGGCUUACCAAGGCAACGAUGCAUAGCCGACCUGAGAGGGUGAUCGGCCACACUGGAACUGAGACACGGUCCAGACUCCUACGGGAGGCAGCAGUAGGGAAUCUUCCGCAAUGGGCGAAAGCCUGACGGAGCAACGCCGCGUGAGUGAUGAAGGUCUUCGGAUCGUAAAACUCUGUUAUUAGGGAAGAACAUAUGUGUAAGUAACUGUGCACAUCUUGACGGUACCUAAUCAGAAAGCCACGGCUAACUACGCG